UAUUAGAUUAAAUUGAUCAGGUGAGUUUUCUCCUUUCAAAAGAGGCAGGUGGAAUCUCCACGGUGGCUAAUAGAAUAACGUUGAAAGGCUAGUGAAAUAUGGGGAGCCCUAGAGCAUCUGCUUGACAUGCAGAAUGUCCCAGUCAGUGUAGACCAGGGGUCCUCAAACUAUGUCCUGCACGGCCAUUUCAGAACCCGCCAAGUGUCCAAGGCUGAAAGCAUUUUGCCGCCCACUCAGUCAGUCCCCGCACUGCACUGAGGUAAACGCCACAAGCGUGGUGGCGGCUCUACCAAUGGAAGGCCAGGGGGUUUCGCCCGGGGACGGGGAAGUGUUGUCUUUUGGCUUGAAGAGCAAAGUUGAGCUGCUGGAGGAAGAUCAGCUGUACCUGCCGGAGGUGAUCCAGAACUGCCAGGCAGCUCAGCUCAGGGGGCUCUGAACCCUGAAGUGCUCCAAGCAGGAGACAGCCAAAGCCAUCCUGGGGUCACUUAAAGAAGAAAACCUUACAGCUGCAGAUUUCUCUCACCUGUAACUAAAAUCAAUGCUGUGCCUGUCUAUAUACAUUGUAAGAGUUGUUGUUCACUGAAGAAACCACUAUGUUAAAAGUUCUAUUAUCUUGAUACUUCAUAUAUGGUAUGUACUUUUACAGGACAAUUGUUUAUAUAAUUUUAAUUUGUUAAAUGAUCUACUGGUCGAUCCACAACUCUGGUCACUGCUCCCUGAGAAAAGCUCAAGAACUCUGGGCAAAGACAAUGGGUAGAUCACUGGCAGGAUUUUUAUUACUGGGAGUAGAUCUCAGUCUCUUGGAAGUUCUGGCAUUGUGGCCAUUUCAAGGUACUAGCACAACUUUAAUUGCCACUCAUCUUUUGUUGAUAUUAACUCAUUUUCCAGUAUUUUGCUAUUAGCAUCCUAGCCGCUGUUGUUGUGUAAAGAAACACUCUUUUAUUUUCAUUUGGUAUGCUUAUUGUUAGAAUAUCAAAUAGGAAAGCUUUGGUUUUCUUUAAAAUAAAUAGCAUUUAUUUUAUUUUCCCUUUGGGGACAUGUCCACCACUUGUGGAAUAAGGUUUCCUUCAUUUUGUCUGCAUCUCCAACACUUACUCCUGAUAUUUAUUUAUUUUGACUGAUUUGGAUGGGGUCAGGUACCAUCUAAAAAUCAGAUAGCACGUGGUGAAUUUUAUGUCUUUUCCCAUAAUUUCCCCCAUUUUUCAUCUUGAUUGGAUAGCCACAAUUGUGUGCCCAUUUCACAAUCACCUCCUUCACCUCCUAGUCCUUAAGGUUCCAGUCCAGUAACAAUCUGUGUGGUUUUGAUAAUAUAUUUGUAUUAUUUAAUAUUUAAUAAUAACUUUUUAAAAGAUCUGCUAUCUUUGUGUCAAGUCCAUUUAUUUCUUAUCUGGAAA